CAGCCGUGAUGAGACGGUGUGUGUUGCUGUUGUUGUGCUGAGUCUCACCUCGGUGGGCCAGCCUGCGCCGCUGGUCUGUGAAAGCUGCUGAAGCCAGCGGACAAAGCUCCAGACUAAUUUCCUGGAUUUGGUAUUUCAUUGCCUUGACCUCGGAUACCUGUGUGGUUACCACAUUACUGAAUUUUUGUUUGGCCAAGUUAUUCAAUGAAUAUUACCUCCAUGAACACACCCAACGUCUAUAAGCCAACAUAGGAUUAAACGUAAGCAAUAUAUGGAUAUUGUGGAACUGAAUCCGAAAUUUUUUGUUUGAGAACAACACGGUCUUUGAUGACGACGCAACAAUUUCCCAGUUAUCAACCAGAGAUGCUGCUGCAGAGUGGCUGCUCUGACUGCUUCAUUGUAAAGAGGAAGGACAAGAACAUUGAUAUGCUCAUGCUCUUCAGUAGGAGGCAGAACGUCCCCGCUGCUGAGCUAAUGAGUUUGAGAAACAGGCAGAGUGCCUCGGCUGGGCCAAACCAGAGGUCCUAAACUCAGAUCAUGAUAUUGAAAACUGCCUGGACGAUGACGACAUUGAUAAUCCGGAAUUGUUACCCUUGAUUUUUCAAAGACUGCGCAACAAGUAUGAAGUCCCCUUCAAGUGUAUGUCAGAGAGUGCUCAAACAUUCCACAAGGCUGUCUAUGAGUGGGCUCUGCAACAGUGGGCCACUCUCUGGUGAAUGUGCUAGUGAUCUUCAACAGGGGGUCCGGGACUCCUGGGGGACCUCAGAGUCUCCAGUCAACAGGGGGUCUCCAAAUUCUUGUUGAUUUUUGAACUUAAUUUUACAUAACAUAUAUAGUAAGGGGUCCCUGCUCCCUUUCUCUUUCAGUUAACCUUCUGAGACCUAAGGCCAUUUUUACAGUUUAUUGUCAGUCUGGAUUUAUUUUAUAAAAAGCUUGUAAAACAUCAACCCUGUUGUCUACAGUCAAGAUAUGAACAUCAUUUUUUUUUAGGACAAACUGGGUUAUUAGAAUAUUUGGGUUGCAGUGAGGUCACUUGCAUGUUAAAAAUGGUUGUAGGGCCUUAAAGACAAAUAAAUAUAAAUUGGAAC